AACGAACGCUGGCGGCAGGCCUAACACAUGCAAGUCGAGCGAGGACUUCGGUCAUAGCGGCGGACGGGUGAGUAAUGCGUGGGAACGUGCCCCUUGGUACGGAAUAGCCCCGGGAAACUGGGAGUAAUACCGUAUGAGCUCUACGGAGGAAAGAGUUAUCGCCAAGGGAUCGGCCCGCGUUGGAUUAGGUAGUUGGUGGGGUAAUGGCCUACCAAGCCGACGAUCCAUAGCUGGUUUGAGAGGAUGAUGAGCCACACUGGAGCUGAGACACGGUCCGGAAUGCUACGGGAGGCAGCAGUGGGGAAUCUUAGACAAGGGGCGCGAGCCUGAGCUAGCCAUGCCGCGUGAUCGAUGAAGGCCGUAGGGUUGUAAAGGUCUUUCAGCUGGGAAGAUAAUGACUGUACCAGCAGAAGAAGCCCCGGCUAACUCCGUGCCAGCCGCCGCAGUAA
rnacentral:rRNA from 1 species